UACAGAGGGUGCGAGCGUUGUUCGGAAUUACUGGGCGUAAAGCGCGCGCAGGCGGCUUCCUAAGUCCGUCGGUGAAAGACCGGGGCUCAACCCCGUGUCAGCCAUGGAUACUGGGAGGCUGGAGACAGGUAGAGGCAAGCGGAAUUCCGGGUGUAGCGGUGGAAUGCGCAGAUAUCAGGAGGAACACCGAUGGCGAAGGCAGUGUUCUGGGCCGAAACUGACGCUGAGGAGCGAAAGCGUGGGGAGCGAACAGG
rnacentral:rRNA from 1 species